rnacentral:rRNA from 1 species
CCUACGGGUGGCAGCAGUGGGGAAUAUUGGGCAAUGGGCGCAAGCCUGACCCAGCAACGCCGCGUGAAGGAAGAAGGCUUUCGGGUUGUAAACUUCUUUUAAGGGGGAAGAGCAGAAGUCGGUACCCCUUGAAUAAGCCACGGCUAACUGGGUGCCAGCAGCCGCGGCGAUACGGAGGUGGCAAGCGUUGGCCGGAUUUACUGGGUGGAAAGGGCGCGCAGCCGGAGAGACAAGUCAGAUGUGAAAUCCACGGGCUCAACCCGUGAACUGCAUUUGAAACUGUUUCCCUUGAGUGUCGGAGAGGUGAGCGGAAUUCCUUGUGUAGCGGUGAAAUGCGUAGAUAUAAGGAAGAACACCAGUGGCGAAGGCGGAUUACUGGACGAUAACUGACGGUGAGGCGCGAAAGCGUGGGGAGCAAACAGGAUUAGAUACCCUAGUAGUC